CCCAUAAUAGAUCAGUGAGAGUGAUCAGCUGUCAAAUGAUUCAUUGUUGGUUCAAAUCCUACUUGGGGAG